rnacentral:rRNA from 1 species
CCUACGGGAGGCAGCAGUGGGGAAUUUUGGACAAUGGGCGAAAGCCUGAUCCAGCAAUGCCGCGUGCAGGAAGAAGGCCUUCGGGUUGUAAACUGCUUUUGUACGGAGCGAAAAGGCUCUCUCUAAUACAGGGGGCUCAUGACGGUACCGUAAGAAUAAGCACCGGCUAACUACGUGCCAGCAGCCGCGGUAAUACGUAGGGUGCAAGCGUUAAUCGGAAUUACUGGGCGUAAAGCGUGCGCAGGCGGUUUUGUAAGACAGGCGUGAAAUCCCCGGGCUCAACCUGGGAAUGGCGCUUGUGACUGCAAAGCUGGAGUGCGGCAGAGGGGGAUGGAAUUCCGCGUGUAGCAGUGAAAUGCGUAGAUAUGCGGAGGAACACCGAUGGCGAAGGCAAUCCCCUGGGCCUGCACUGACGCUCAUGCACGAAAGCGUGGGGAGCAAACAGGAUUAGAUACCCUGGUAGUCCACGCCCUAAACGAUGUCAACUGGUUGUUGGGUCUUUACUGACUCAGUAACGAAGCUAACGCGUGAAGUUGACCGCCGNGGAGGUACGGCCGCGAGGUAGUAAACGUUAAGUAGUAGUUAGUACGGCGUGAGACGUAGACCGACGGACGACGACGAGGGAGGAGG